UGGGGAAUAUUCCGCAAUGGACGAAAGUCUGACGGAGCAACGCCGCGUGAGUGAUGAAGGUUUUCGGACUGUAAAGCUCUGUUGUUCAGGACGAAAGUGCCUGUUGCAAAUAGUUACAGGUAUUGACGGUACUGAACGAGGAAGCCACGGCUAACUACGUGCCAGCAGCCGCGGUAAUACGUAGGUGGCAAGCGUUGUCCGGAAUUAUUGGGCGUAAAGAGCAUGUAGGCGGGAAUCUAAGUCUGUUGUGAAAAUGCGGGGCUCAACCCCGUAUGGCGAUGGAAACUGGAUUUCUUGAGUGCAGGAGAGGAAAGGGGAAUUCCCAGUGUAGCGGUGAAAUGCGUAGAUAUUGGGAGGAACACCAGUGGCGAAGGCGCCUUUCUGGACUGUGUCUGACACUGAGAUGCGAAAGCCAGGGUAGCGAACGG
rnacentral:rRNA from 1 species